UGUUGGGUAGGCUGCGGUGUGGGACUGUGCCGUCGGGGCGCAGUUCCCUCUGUGCUGUGAGUAAUCCUCGGCCGCAUUUGCAGCUCCCAGGGGAUUGUGCAACUUCCUCUCCAGCUGAGGUGCAGGGGGCUGGGUGAGAAACAGCAGCCGCCGGGGAAAUGAGGAAACUGAGCCCGGCCCUGGGGCUGGGGUGCGGCCCUGGGCUCCGGCCCCUGGAGGAGCUGAGCAUUCCAGGGGCCUCCUUCCAGGGGGCUGCCCUCUCGAAGGAGCCAGCGCCGGCAGCCACCAUGGCGUCACGCAUAGGGUUGCGCAUGCAGCUCAUGCGGGAGCAGGCGCAGCAGGAGGAGCAGCGGGAGCGCAUGCAGCAACAGGCUGUCAUGCAUU
rnacentral:lncRNA from 1 species